rnacentral:rRNA from 1 species
CACGUAGGGCGCAAGCGUUGUCCGGAAUUAUUGGGCGUAAAGAGCUCGUAGGUGGUUUGUUACGUCUGCUGUGAAAUCCCGGGGCUUAACCCCGGGCGUGCAGUGGAUACGGGCAGGCUGGAGGCAGGCAGGGGAGAAUGGAAUUCCCGGUGUAGCGGUGAAAUGCGCAGAUAUCGGGAGGAACACCGGUGGCGAAGGCGGUUCUCUGGGCCUGUUCUGACGCUGAGGAGCGAAAGCGUGGGGAGCGAACAGG